UGUAUAAAUGCUAAGUAAAGAUAAUUCCCUAUAUGAUGAUUUGGAAUGGUAUUGCAACAACUUACCACAAAAAUCAUAUCUGAGCAAUAUUUGCUCCUAAAUGUAGAAACAUACAUCCAGACUUGUAUCCUAAAGAUGACUCUAGAAAACAUCUUUGAAAUGGGAGACAGAUUUGGCCAAGAGGGUAUAGCAGAUGAUGAUGAAGAAAAUAUACUGAAAUGGUUAGAAAUAAUCAAGUUAAAAGAUGAAUGAAUCUAAGAGAGUGUUAUAAAAGUGAAGCAACAAAACCCUGUAUUAAAGUAUUAAUUAAAAACAACAAAACAUGGGAAAUUUUAUGAUAUUUAUGAAAUUUAUGAACUAUAUUUUGGAAAUUAAGCAAAAAACAC
rnacentral:lncRNA from 1 species